rnacentral:ncRNA from 1 species
GGUUAGUUUGGUUCUGGUUACUUAGCUUGAGUAUAAUUUGAUCGGUUAACACAUGGUAGUUUAGGCGCAGAAUGAGUAAGAUAGGUUUAUUUUUAGAAUAGGCAAAAGCCUUUUUUUGGAAUCUCACUAUCCACAAUUAAGAAGAAUAUUCGAUGACUGUUAGUAGUUAGUUCAUAACUCCAGUGGAAAGGUUUUAACCAUGAGCGUAAGCUUGAUUAAGUCAUGAUUAAUUAGGGGAGUCUAACCAGGUGCCAGCAGUCGCGGUUAAACCUGAGUUGCCCGACUCAAGAUUCACAGCGUAAAAGGUGGUAAGAUGGCCUUCCUUAAUUUAAGGUGUGAGGAAAUAAGGAAGCCGAUCUGAGGAGGAUAGGGGUAUAAUCUGUUUGAUCCUUUGAGAAAGGUGAAUAGCUUUCUUUAGGCUGAAACCACGGAACCGGUAUAUAGGAGACAUGGAUUAGAUACCCAUUUAUUCCCGGCGCAAACUUUGCUAUAAGGCGGCUGCUUGAGUACUACGAGCGAUGGCUUAAAACUCAAAGGAUUUGGCGGCUCGUUAAUUACCCAGGGGAAUAUGCGCCUUAAUCCGAUGAUCCGCGUAACAUCUUACUGUACCUUGAAGAAGAACAGCUGGUGUAUUGCCGUUGUCAGCUUGUUGUUCGAGCAGAGAGAAACAGGCUCAAUGGAGCUAGCAAUGUUUAUUGAAAGAAUCCAUGAAUUCAGGUCGAAAUACUGCCAAUGGUACAAGGGAGUGGGUAUUACAAUUCAGAGUUUGAAUUACGGAUCCUGUAAAUGAAAGUAUCAGGUGAAGGUGGACUUGGGAGUAAGGGGGGAUUAAUAUGCCUCUCUGAACGUAAAUCUAACUUGUGCACAAACCGCCCGUCGCUCUCGCCAGGAGGGGAGAUAAGUCGUAACAAGGUAGGGGUACCGGAAGGUGCGCCCUGA